AUUGAACGCUGGCGGCAGGCCUAACACAUGCAAGUCGAGCGGAGCGGCGGACGGGUGGGUGAGGCCUAGGUAUCUGCCUGGUAGUGCGGGAUAACGUCCGGACACGUGCGAUAAUACCGCAUACUAUCAGAUGAGUCUAGGUGGGAUUAGCUAGUUGGUGAGGUAAAGGCUUACCAAGGCGCCGAUCCGUAACUGGUCUGAGAGGAUGAUCAGUCACAUUGGAACUGAGACACGGUCCAGACUCCUACGGGAGGCAGCAGUGGGGAAUAUUGGACAAUGGGGGAAACCCUGAUCCAGCCAUGCCGCGUGUGUGAAGAAGGUCUUCGGAUUGUAAAGCACUUUAAGUUGGGAGGCGUUACCCACAGAAGAAGCACCGGCUAACUCCGUGCCAGCAGCCGCGGUAAUAC
rnacentral:rRNA from 1 species